UAUGAAGAAAGAUAAUAGGAAUCGUAACGAAAGGACUAGAGGACACUGGAGCCAGCUUUGGAUCUUGCGUUUCGAAGACUGACCUACUUCCAGCUUCUGCUUGACCCAUUGCACAAGCCGUCAGACAUUUGUUGAGCAAGAUCCCUUUAAAAAUGAUCCCAGGCUGCUGGCUCAAGUGCUUAUGAAAGGGUCUCGGACAACUAGACCAGGCAAGCCCAAUGGGACCUGAACAGUGGAAGAAAUACUGUGUGAGAUGUCUGGGAAGAUGGACCUAAGAGCACAUCCCUGAAGAGUCUUGUGAUCCCAAGCAUGGCUCAGGAAGAAGAGUGAUUGUACGUGUCCUAUGGUAAAACCUUAAAAAAGUUCUCAUAGUAGAAGAUCGAAUGUUUUUCCCCUCAACAUCAGGAACAAAAGAAGGAUGUCCACAUUUAACACUUCUGUUGAAAGUGUUCUAGUAUAUUCAUCACACCACAGCUUCAAGCCAUUGCAGAAAAAUAUAAAAGGUACAAAUAUUAAAAUGUCUUUAUUUGGGA